AUUCAACUUCCACGUAUUAUCUACUACAGACGCAAAAGGGGAGGUUCAGAAAAUGCACCCAAUACACGAAACAACGUGCAAAAUCACGCGAGAAGACAGUUAAUAAAACGAAUUAAUUAAUACUCCAAUAAUUCAAAAACUCAUUACAGCGAAAAUUCAUUUAAAUAAAACAAUAAAAACAAAGCCAAGCACAUGACACCUUGACCUUUUAUAACCCCCCUCAUCAAUCUCAGAUUCACCAUUAAUUUAAUCGAAUUAUCAAAUCCUUCAAUUGUCCCAUUAUCCACAAUAUCCCACAAAAAAAAAAAAUUAAAAUUGAAGGAUUCUUACCGGAAAAAAUCAAUUGAUUAAAUAUGAAGUAUGAAUUGGUAAAAAUAAGAGGGGAGAUAAAAAGAGAGAGCUAGGGUUUUUCUGGUAAAAAAGGAGAGAUCUGAGAGGGAAUUAAAUUAGAGCGCGGGCAUUUGUGUACAAAAUGAAAAUAAAUAUAAAAAAAGUUUAUGGGGUUUUUGGAUUGGAUGAGAGAGAAAAUAAAAUGAGGGGAAG
rnacentral:lncRNA from 1 species